UGGCAACCUGGCGGCGUGCCUAAUAAUGCAAGUGGAACGCAGUUAAUUCACCGGAGCUUGCUCCACCGGAUUAACUGAGUCGCGAACGGGUGGGUAACGCGUAGGUAACCUACCUCAUAGCGGGGGAUAACUAUUGGAAACGAUAGCUAAUACCGCAUAAUAGUUUUUGACACAUGUUAGAGACUUGAAAGGAACAACAGUUUCACUAUGAGAUGGACCUGCGUUGUAUUAGCUAGUAGGUAGGGUAACGGCCUACCUAGGCAACGAUACAUAGCCGACCUGAGAGGGUGGUCGGCCACACUGGGACUGAGACACGGCCCAGACUCCUACGGGAGGCAGCAGUAGGGAAUCUUCGGCAAUGGGGGCAACCCCGACCGAGCAACGCCGCGUGAGUGAAGAAGGUUUUCGGAUCGUAAAGCUCUGUUGUAAGAGAAGAAGGUUAGCGAGAGUGGAAAGUUCGCUAGUUGACGGUAUCUUACCAGAAAGGGACGGCUAACUACGUGCCAGCAGCCGCGGUAAU
rnacentral:rRNA from 1 species